GAUGAACGCUGGCGGCGUGCCUAAUACAUGCAAGUCGAGCGAACGGACGAGAAGCUUGCUUCUCUGAUGUUAGCGGCGGACGGGUGAGUAACACGUGUAUAACCUACCUAUAAGACUGGGAUAACUUCGGGAAACCGGAGCUAAUACCGUAUAAUAUUUUGAACCGCAUGGUUCAAAAGUGAAAGACGGUCUUGCUGUCACUUAUAGAUGGAUCCGCGCUGCAUUAUCUAGUUGGUAAGGUAACGGCUUACCAAGGCAACGAUGCAUAGCCGACCGGAGGGGGUGAUAGGCCACACUGGAACUGGAACACGGUCCAGACUCCUAAGGGAGGCAGCAGUAGGGAAUCUUACGCAACGGGCGAAAGCCUGACGGAGCAACGGCGAGUGAGUGAUGAAGGUCCUCGGAUCGUAAAACUCUGUUAUUAGGGAAGAACAUAUGUGUAAGUAACUGUGCACAUCUUGACGGUACCUAAUCAGAAAGCCACGGCUAACUACGUG
rnacentral:rRNA from 1 species